UUUGGACGGACGUUUGCACGAGGAGGACGGCGCGAGGCAGAGCCGUGGCUCGACAUCUCGCCGGCGUCCUGAUCCGUGGAUCGGAAUUCUUGCUUUCCUGUGACGACGUGAAGCUCCACAGUAAAUGCGUAGGUGGUCUGGAGAGGGCGGCUAUCUUCCACUUCUCGUCCCUGGAUCUUGGAGUCAUCAGACCGGCGAAGCGGUGCAGUUAGAUCUUGUGAUGGAGCGAGAGCGACAGACAAAUCCGGCCGAGUUCUUGAUGCAGCCCUUAAGCAGCAGAACUCUGCUAGAGGAGGUCAACAAAAACAACGGCCACAUGAGUCCUCUUCAUUACCCUGUGACGCCGCUGCCGGCUGUUGAGCUUCCCACCACGGCGGCGUUGGGUGCAGAUGUCCAGAUGUGUGCUGCUGAAUCUGCUCAAGCGGCAGGAACUGCAGACAAGGCUAGGCUUGAGCAACUCCAUAGAGCAAAUAUACCCGAAAACUCCUGGCUGGACUAAAAGGUACAUACAGAUGAUCUGAACUACUUUUAGUUUUGGUUAGGUCAGAUAGUUAACAAAUUACCUUUUUUGGGGAGGGCGGUGUUGUGUGAGGAGAAAUUACAUAGCACUGGUAGUAAUAUUCAGCAUGAAUAUGUCUGAAGCAUAGACACAGUGUAGACUUGGGGUCUGAAGCAUAGACACAGUGUAGACUUGGGGUCCUGUAUGCGUGCUGCUUGUUGGUUCCUGUUCCAAACAUUCCAUGCCUGUGGAGAAAAAUUUGAUGGUUAAUUCAUAUGGUUCCGUGGUUAAAUAAACUAUGAUGAGUAAACAGACUAAGUAUAUUUAAGUGCUCACGGUAGUUGUCAUGCGAUUUUUGGUAUGGCCAUGUCAUAAACAAAAAUGCAGUAAAAAGACAGGCAAAAAGUUGUUUGAGCAGAACAAAUGAACAGAUUCAGUGUGUUAUCACAUAAGUGUUUAUUCUGUAUGGUUUAAAAUAAAAUGUGCCUCUGUACCGGUGCCAAAUGUCAUUUGUUUUGCAGGGUGAGGGUUGGAGCUGCUGCUCUGGGCAGAGCACCAUGCCCUGAUAGGAUAUCAGUCCUAGAGAAAACAAUCAGGCAGUUUGCCAAAAAUAGGUACGAGCUUUGACAAGCUUGGAGAGGCGUACGAUUUUUACAAUUUGUACUCGUGGGAGAACGGAUUCGGCAUCAGAUACGGAAAAGGAGGCUAAAUGUAAAUCAGACAAAAUGCACGCAAGAGAUAUCGUGUGGCUGUGAGGUUGAUGCUAUUAUUUACAGGGUAAACCAAUAGCUGAAAAUACUCGUUCCUGCCGUUGUGAAUGCCCUCCACUGAUAAGGUUAUUGCGGUCGAAGGAUAAUGGCUCGUACAUAGCUGAGCACCGGGACGAGCACAACCAUGCAGGGUCCCUUACAUAUGGACAGGCUGUACACUGGCUAUCACACAAGCAUAUAGAUGAGUACAGCAAGGACAUCGUGAAGCAGCUGAGCGAGAACAAUGUGAACUUUGCAAAGGUGUACAACAUCAUUGGCACUUUUUUUGGUAGAAUGGAUAACAGUGUUGCGAAAUCUGUGUGGUAAGAUCAGCUGUGAACAAGCAGAGGGUGAUGUGAGAAAAACCAUGGAAGUAUUCCAGGAGCUAUGUUCGAAAGACCCGCAGUUCACUUAUCGAGUUCAGGCUGACAAAGAAUGUUGGAUGAGAACUCUAAUGUGGGCUACUGGCAACAGCAGGUUGCAGUACACUUUCUUCGGGGAUGUUGUGAAGUUUGCUACGACCUACAGGACCAAUCUCUAUGACAUGCCGUUCGGUCUUUUUGUGGGGAUGAACAAUCAUUUUCAGAGCAUUAUACUAGCAUAGCAGGUGUGUUGGUUCGUGAUGAGAAGGUAGAGACGUUUGAUUGGGUUUUUGCAGAGUUUAUUAGGAUGAUGGGUGGGGCUGCACCACAGACAAUACUGACAGACCAAAAUCGAGCAAUGGAAAUAGCUAUAAAAAAUGUAAUGUUGGACACAACGCAUCGUUGGUGCAAAUGGCAUGUGCUGAAAAAGGCAAAAGAGGCUUUAGGCCCAUUGUACUAAAAAAAAAAGAGCGACUUCCAUGCUGAGUUUCACAAGGUGGUUAAUCAUAUGCUGACUGUAGAUGAGUUUGAGGAAGCUUGGAAAUUUAUGGUGGAGAAGUACAACCUGAAGAACCACACCUACAUGACACAAUUGUUUGAGACACCGCACAAGUGGGCGAAGCCUUACUUCACUGGUGUGUUCUUUGCCAAGAUGACAAGUACACAGCGGAGUGAAAGCGCUAACCACAUGUUGAAGAAUUAUGUGCCUCCAGGGCUCCAGGCUGCCCCAUGCAUAAGUCUAUCAGGAAGUACAUGAUGUUGCUGUUUGACAGGGAGUCGCAGGAAAAUUAUGAGGAGAAAAGAACCUGAAUUGGGAGGCCACUUCUCCAGGCAAACAUGGCGGUAGAGAGGCAUGCCGGCAAGAUAUAUACCAGAGCUUUGUUUGAGCAAUUCGAGCAUAUCCUAUAUGAGUGUGGUGCAUACCAGGUUGAGGAAAUUGAAAAAGGUAAAACAUAUGUUGCAAUACAUACAGAGGCAGAGCAUAGAGAGAAGUGGUGUCGAAUUUCAUAUAGAGUUACAGUCCUGGAUGGCGAUGAUGAAUUUGAAUGUGAAUGUGGUCAAUUUGCGCACAUGGGCCUGCUAUGUAGCCAUGUGUUGAAGGUGCUGGACUUUAUACGCGUUACAGAAAUCCUGAAGAAACACAUACUUAAAAGAUGGACAAAGAAUGCAAGGGAUAUACUACCGCCUCACCUAGUACCAGAAGGACCAUGCACAGCAAAACCCAUUUAGCUACAGGCACUUCAAUAUGUAUAUGCAUGCUAUGGAGCUUGUUCGCAUGGGUGACUGUAGUGUGGAAGCAUACGACCAUCUGAUAUCUUUGUUCAAGAAAUGUGCUGCUGAAAUGAAGCCAUUUACAGAGGUAAGGGAUGGGCUAGGACUUGAAGACAGAGACUUGCUGAUAAUGGAGAUGUCCCGACCCAGGUUCAGUCUAGAGGCACGGUCCUCGCUGCAGUAGCUGCCUCACAUGGUGAUGCGAACGAUGAUGACAACAAUUCAGCAAAUGAGUCGGCAAACAUGCUUGUAGGGUUAUUGGCACCAAGCUAAGUGGAAGGAUAUGGGGCAAGUGAGAAGGCGCCAUAUGAAGGUCUGGGCAAGUGAACAAGGUUCUGUAGCAUAUGCCGUCGGCAGGGACACAAACGGACAACUUGCCCUGAUCGUGACGAUGUUCCGAGGCAGCCUAGGAAGCCAUCAAGAUGCAAGAAUUGUGGCACCGAAGAACACCGCCGGAACAAUGCCAGAAGGCGGAAGAGCUGAGACUGAAAAAUACUUGAUGGGCAUCCUGUAGUUUGUCAAAUGCACCACUUUGUUAUGCAAGUUCGAAAAUGUGUUGUACCUGUAAAAUUUGGAUCAGUUCGUCCUAUUAUAUAUGAUCAUAAAACAUGUGUUGAUAGCC